AAUGAGACAACUCUCCUCCCAAGUAAUAAUUCAUAAAAGUAAACCAUUAUAGGUCAAGGUACGACCUGCAACACGGAGCCUUGGCUCACACCGAACACAGGCGCCUGGGUGCUGUUCGGUGUCACAGGCGCUUGGUUGUAUGAUACAGAUUUUUUUUUUGAUUUUUUUUUUUUGCUGAUUAAAAUAUUCAAUUUUCUAUAUUUAUAAUACAUAUCUAUCACUUCUGUGCAUGUUUCACCUAGUUUCGAGUGUUUUAAACGACCCAGAGAAAAUACCCAAUUU
rnacentral:lncRNA from 1 species